rnacentral:rRNA from 1 species
GACGAACGCUGGCGGCGUGCCUAAUACAUGCAAGUCGAGCGGAGUGAUGAAGAAGCUUGCUUCUUCUGAUUUUAGCGGCGGACGGGUGAGUAACACGUGGGCAACCUACCUUGUAGAUUGGGAUAACUCCGGGAAACCCGGGGCUAAUACCGAAUAAUCCAUUUUGCUUCAUGGCGAGAUGUUGAAAGACGGUUUCGGCUGUCACUACAAGAUGGGCCCGCGGCGCAUUAGCUAGUUGGUAGGGUAAUGGCCUACCAAGGCGACGAUGCGUAGCCGACCUGAGAGGGUGAUCGGCCACACUGGGACUGAGACACGGCCCAGACUCCUACGGGAGGCAGUAGUAGGGAAUCUUCCACAAUGGACGAAAGUCUGAUGGAGCAACGCCGCGUGAGUGAAGAAGGUUUUCGGAUCGUAAAACUCUGUUGUAAGGGAAGAACACGUACGAGAGUAACUGCUCGUACCUUGACGGUACCUUAUUAGAAAGCCACGGCUAACUACGUG